rnacentral:rRNA from 1 species
GACGAACGCUGGCGGCGUGCCUAAUACAUGCAAGUAGAACGCUGAAGAGAGGAGCUUGCUCUUCUUGGAUGAGUUGCGAACGGGUGAGUAACGCGUAGGUAACCUGCCUGGUAGCGGGGGAUAACUAUUGGAAACGAUAGCUGAUACCGCAUAAAAUUGAUUAUUGCAUGAUAAUUAAUUGAAAGAUGCAACUGCAUCACUACCAGAUGGACCUGCGUUGUAUUAGCUAGUUGGUGAGGUAACGGCUCACCAAGGCGACGAUACAUAGCCGACCUGAGAGGGUGAUCGGCCACACUGGGACUGAGACACGGCCCAGACUCCUACGGGAGGCAGCAGUAGGGAAUCUUCGGCAAUGGGGGGAACCCUGACCGAGCAACGCCGCGUGAGUGAAGAAGGUUUUCGGAUCGUAAAGCUCGGUUGUAAGAGAAGAACGGGUGUGAGAGUGGAAAGUUCACACUGUGACGGUAUCUUACCAGAAAGGGACGGCUAACUACGUG